rnacentral:sRNA from 1 species
GCCGGGAGCAGUGGCACACGCCUGUCAUCCCAGCUGCUGGGGAGGCUGAGACAGGGGGAUCGCAAGUUCAAAGCCAGCCUCAGCAAUGGUGAGGCGUUAAGCAAUUCAGUGAGACUCUGUUUCUA